rnacentral:tRNA from 1 species
AGGGGUGUAGCUCAGUAGUAGAGUACUUGCCUAGUAUGUUUGAAGCCCUGGGUUCAAGCCCCAGUAGCACAA